AGAGUUUGAUCCUGGCUCAGAACGAACGCUGGCGGCGUGCUUAACACAUGCAAGUCGAACGAGAAAUCCUGGGCAACUGGGAGAGUAAAGUGGCGCACGGGUGAGUAACGCGUGGGUAAUCUACCCUUUAAUCAGGGAUAACUCCGCGAAAGCGGGGCUAAUACCAGAUAAUAUCUCAACCUCAAAGGGUUGAAAUCAAAGGUGGCCUCUGCAUGCAAGCUACUGUUGAAGGAUGAGCCCGCGUACCAUUAGCUUGUUGGUAGGGUAACGGCCUACCAAGGCAACGAUGGUUAGCUGGUCUGAGAGGAUGGCCAGCCACACUGGAACUGAGACACGGUCCAGACUCCUACGGGAGGCAGCAGUGGGGAAUAUUGCGCAAUGGGGGAAACCCUGACGCAGCGACGCCGCGUGGGUGAUGAAGGCCUUCGGGUCGUAAAGCCCUGUCAGGUGGGAAGAAACGUGUCGGUGUCAAUACCACCGAUACCUGACGGUACCACCGGAGGAAGCACCGGCUAACUCCGUGCCAGCAGCCGCGGUAAUACGGAGGGUGCAAGCGUUGUUCGGAAUUACUGGGCGUAAAGCGCGUGUAGGCGGUUGGGUAAGUCAGAUGUGAAAGCCUUCCGCUCAACGGAAGAAGGGCAUUUGAAACUACCCAGCUAGAGUACGGGAGAGGAGAGUGGAAUUCCCGGUGUAGAGGUGAAAUUCGUAGAUAUCGGGAGGAACACCAGUGGCGAAAGCGGCUCUCUGGUCCGAUACUGACGCUGAGACGCGAAARSSKKGGGRRSMAAMMAGRAUWARWWMCCYBGKWWKUCCMCGCCKUAAACGAAGGGCAUUAGGUGUAGGAGGUAUUGACCCCUUCUGUGCCGAAGCUAACGCAUUAAGUGCCCCGCCUGGGGAGUACGGCCGCAAGGCUAAAACUCAAA
rnacentral:rRNA from 1 species